GCUCAUUAUGCUCUUUGGAUGCACUCCAGUUUGCCAGUGUUCCUUAAAUUUGCGUUUGACCAAGGGGGAUAUUCAAAAUAUUUAGUAACCAGAUUGUACACCAACUGUAAAGAACUUGUGAGACUCAGCUAGUACUAUGGUGAUCAAAAUGGAACACAAUUGCUACCAAAAGAGAACUGCUCCCCUGAAGUAGAGCAGUGAAGAGGCCUUUUACAUCUAAGACCAAAGGAGAGUCUGCGGCAGUCUGAGGAAGUGCUGGCCUGUGGUAGGAUCCACAGCACCACUUCUAAAAGCCCUUAGUCAGGUGGCUGCCCUUGGACUGCCAUGGGAAAGGGAUGGAGGAUGGAGGGAGCGCUAUGUUCUGGGGCUCUGGGUCUUGUCAUUUUAAAAAAUGUUUGGUUUCUACAUUCAACUGUUUGUUCCUGAAAGCUGUGUUCUCUCAGGCCUCUUUCAUUCUGCAGAUGACAGGUUUGGUAUCUCCAGGCCCACAUUUUCCUAAUCUAGAUUUUAGUGUCACAGAGCCAAAUUAACUCUCCAAGGCCUCCCUCAUUUUUUCACUGUUGCCAAGUAAGUUAACAAGGUUGAACGGACAAAGUGGGAGAUGAGUGAUUUAUUUUUAGUAUUCUUAAGUAGUACAGAGAAAAAUCAUGCCAACUGAAAAAAUGAAGAAAGAAUCCCCUGAUGAGUCUAUUCUCAAGGUCUAUUAAUAAAAUCUUGUAAAUGCAAAAAGGCAUCUCAUGAAAA
rnacentral:antisense_RNA from 1 species